rnacentral:rRNA from 1 species
AUAACGGUCCUAAGGUAGCGAAAUUCCUUGUCAGGUAAGUUCUGACCCGCACGAAAGGCGUAAUGAUUUGAACACUGUCUCAACAAUGUACCCGGCGAAAUUGUAGUACUAGUGAAGAUGCUAGUUACCUGCGACAAGACAGAAAGACCCCAUGGAGCUUUACUGCAGCUUGAUACUGGGUUUUGGUAAUUUAUGUACAGGAUAGGUGGGAUACUAAGAAGCAAGUGCGCCAGCAUUUGUGGAGUAGACGUUGGGAUACCACUCUUAAAUUAUUGAAAUUCUAACCUGUGAUCAUGAACUGGUCAGGGGACAAUGUCAGGCGGGCAGUUUGACUGGGGCGGUCGCCUCCUAAAGAGUAACGGAGGCGCCCAAAGGUUUCCUCAGCACGGACAGAAAUCGUGCGAAAGAGUGUAAAGGCAGAAGGAAGCUUAACUGGGAGACUGACAAGUCGAGCAGAUACGAAAGUAGGGCUUAGUGAUCCGGCGGUAGUGAGUGGAAAUGCCGUCGCUCAACGGACAAAAGUUACCCUGGGGAUAACAGGCUUAUCUCCCCCAAGAGUUCACAUCGACGGGGAGGUUUGGCACCUCGAUGUCGGCUCAUCGCAUCCUGGGGCUGAAGUAGGUCCCAAGGGUUGGGCUGUUCGCCCAUUAAAGCGGUACGCGAGCUGGGUUCAGAACGUCGUGAGACAGUUCGGUCCUUAUCUGUCGCAGGCGUAGGAUAUUUGAAGGGAGCUGUCCUUAGUACGAGAGGACCAGGAUGGACAUACCGAUGGUGUAUCAGUUGUCACACCAGUGGCACGGCUGAGUAGCUAAGUAUGGAAGGGAUAAACGCUGAAAGCAUCUAAGUGUGAAGCCCACCUUAAGAUAAGAUAUCCCAUUGCGUAAGCAAGUAAGAUCCCAUGAAGACUACAUGGUAGAUAGGUUGGGGGUGUAAGUACAGUAAUGUAUUAAGCUGACCAAUACUAAUAGAUCGAGGGCUUAACCAC